rnacentral:rRNA from 1 species
UUAGAGUUCGCUUCUGGCUCAGGAUGAACGCUAGCGAUAGGCUUAGCACAUGCAAGUCGAGGGGCAGCACGGUGUAGCAAUACACUGGUGGCGACCGGCGUACGGGUGCGUAACACGUAUGCAACCUACCCGCUAUUGGGGGAUAACCCGGCGAAAGUCGGACUAAUAUCCCAUAUUAUUCUUACCGGGCAUCCGGUGAGUCUGAAAGAUUUAUCGAUUGCGGAUGGGCAUGCGGAUGAUUAGCUAGUAGGUGGGGUAACGGCUCACCUAGGCGACGAUCAUUAGGGGUUCUGAGAGGAAGGUCCCCCACACUGGAACUGAGACACGGUCCAGACUCCUACGGGAGGCAGCAGUGAGGAAUAUUGGUCAAUGGGCGCUAGCCUGAACCAGCCAAGUCGCGUGAAGGAUGACAGAUCUAUGGUUUGUAAACUUCUUUUGCAGGGGAGUAAAGUGCGACACGUGUGUUGUAUUGCAAGUACCCUGCGAAUAAGCAUCGGCUAACUCCGUGCCAGCAGCCGCGGUAAUACGGAGGAUGCAAGCGUUAUCCGGAUUUAUUGGGUUUAAAGGGUGCGUAGGCGGGUUAUCAAGUCAGCGGUGAAAUUUUUCGGCUUAACCGUAAAAUUGCCGUUGAAACUGGUGAUCUUGAGUGCGAGCGAGGUAGGCGGAAUGUGCCGUGUAGCGGUGAAAUGCAUAGAUAUGGCACAGAACUCCGAUUGCGAAGGCAGCUUACUAGUACGCUACUGACGCUGAUGCACGAAGGCGUGGGGAGCAAACAGGAUUAGAUACCCUGGUAGUUCACGCUGUAAACGAUGGAUAAUAGGUGGGGGAGGUAUCGACCCCUCCCGUGCCGGAGGUAACACAAUAAGUAUCUCACCUGGGGAGUACGGCCGCAAGGUUGAAACUCAAAGGAAUUGACGGGGGCCCGCACAAGCAGUGGAGUAUGUGGUUUAAUUUGAAGCAACGCGAAGAACCUUACCAGGGCUUGACAUACCAAUGACCGGGUUAGAGAUAACCCUUCCCUUCGGGGCAUUGGAUACAGGUGGUGCAUGGUUGUCGUCAGCUCGUGUCGUGAGAUGUUGGGUUAAGUCCCGCAACGAGCGCAACCCCCGUUGUUAGUUGCCAUCAUUUAGUUGGGCACUCUAACGAGACUGCCGGUGACAAAUCGGAGGAAGGUGGGGAGGACGUCAAAUCAUCAUGCCCCUUAUGUCCUGGGGUACACACGUACUACAAUGGCGAUUACAGAGGGAGGCAAGACCGCGAGGUGGAGCAAAUCCCUAAAAGUCGCCCCAGUUCAGAUUGCAGGCUGCAACUCGCCUGCAUGAAGUAGGAAUUGCUAGUAAUGGCAGGUCAGCAUACUGCCGUGAAUACGUUCCCGGGCCUUGCACACACCGCCCGUC